UCAGUUGAUGGUAGUUUUUUGAGUUGUCUAAGCUGUCUGGGCAGAUGUGUGUUGGCAUUUAGAGAAGUGGAGGUGUCUGUUUGAGGUGCCUUGUGUUUUUCUGGAAUUCCUGACUCUAUUGAAGAUGGAACCUUGUUUUCUUCCCUGGUUUUGCUGUAUACUGUGUGAGCUGCUGAUAUUCUCUCUCUUAACAGGACUGAUGGUGAGAUCAUCUAGCAGGGCUUAGGUCUUCCCCACAGCUGACGGGAGGUACAACAGAGUCACAAGAGACGCGGCGUAAACAGCCUGGGCCUCCGCAUCUCAGUAUGCGGGGCUCAAUGUCAGAUGAGUCUCAUCUCGUAAGGCAUUAGCAGUGAUCCAGGAUGUGUCGGCAUAUCCGCUGUCGAGCGGUCUGUUUUUGGGGAACCCUUUUCUGGGACUACUUCUCAUUCAAAGAACUUGCAUUUUUAUUAACUUCUCAUCAGAGUGGAUCUUCAGCGAUGAUGUACUUGGCAGUAGAAGUCACCAGCAGCAAGAUUUUUCACUCUUUAAAAAAAAAAA